GAGACACAUUAGCACAGCAAAACCACUAAACUCUAGCGAGACAUUUCAAUUCAUUUCCAUAAACAACCAUGUUUCAGUUCAAGAAGUUACAAUAACCCUUUAGUAACACAGAUAAUAGAAGAAACCUAGUUGUGUCACAAUAUUACUAAACCUAAACAGUGUUGCAUAUUAUUCACAACUUCAUGUCGACACGUUCAAGCACACAAGCAAGCUUGACCUAAAAUUCCAACACAACAGAUCAAUGGACCAUGACCACUUUGAAUCAAAGGCCACUUCAAUCUUCUACAGUUGACUUAGGUGUU
rnacentral:misc_RNA from 1 species